rnacentral:rRNA from 1 species
GACGAACGCUGGCGGCGUGCUUAACACAUGCAAGGCGAGCGAUGAAAUCCCUUCGGGGAUGGAUUAGCGGCGGACGGGUGAGUAACACGUGGGCAACCUGCCUUAUAGAGAGGAAUAGCCAUCCGACAGGAUGAUUAAUCACUCAUAAUAUUGUAGCUUCGCAUGAAGCAACAUUCAAAGGAGCAAUCCACUAGAAGAUGGGCCCGCAGUGCAUUAGCUAGUUGGUGAGGUAACGGCUCACCAAGGCGAAGAUGCGUAGCCGAACUGAGAGGGUGAUCGGCCACAUUGGGACUGAGACACGGCCCAGACUCCUACGGGAGGCAGCGGUGGGGAAUAUUGCACAAUGGGGGAAACCCUGAUGCAGUAACGCCGCGUGAGUGAUGACGGCCUUCGGGUUGUAAAGCUCUGUCUUCAGGGACGAUAAUGACGGUACCUGAGGAGGAAGCCACGGCUAACUACGUGCCAGCAGCCGCCGUAA